rnacentral:rRNA from 1 species
ACGCACGCUGGCGGCAUGCCUAACCCAUGCCAGUCGAACGAGACCUUCGGGUCUAGUGGCGCACGGGUGCGUAACGCGUGGGAACCUGCCCUUAGGUUCGGAAUAACUCCCCGCAAGGGGUGCUAAUACCGGAUAAUGUCUUCGGACCAAAGAUUUAUCGCCUUUGGAUGGGCCCGCGUUGGAUUAGCUAGUUGGUAGGGUAAAAGCCUACCAAGGCGACGAUCCAUAGCUGGUCUGAGAGGAUGAUCAGCCACACUGGGACUGAGACACGGCCCAGACUCCUACGGGAGGCAGCAGUGGGGAAUAUUGGACAAUGGGCGAAAGCCUGAUCCAGCAAUGCCGCGUGAGUGAUGAAGGCCUUAGGGUUGUAAAGCUCUUUUACCCGGGAUGAUAAUGACAGUACCGGGAGAAUAAGCUCCGGCUAACUCCGUG